UACGUAGGGUGCGAGCGUUGUCCGGAAUUAUUGGGCGUAAAGAGCUUGUAGGCGGUUUGUCGCGUCUGCCGUGAAAAUCCGGGGCUCAACUCCGGACUUGCGGUGGGUACGGGCAGACUAGAGUGUGGUAGGGGAGACUGGAAUUCCUGGUGUAGCGGUGAAAUGCGCAGAUAUCAGGAGGAACACCGAUGGCGAAGGCAGGUCUCUGGGCCACUACUGACGCUGAGAAGCGAAAGCGUGGGGAGAGAACAGG
rnacentral:rRNA from 1 species